GUGUAUUUUAGAUUGAAAGUGUUCACAAAACCAAAGUGAUCUAAAUUGCAACUAUCAUAGUUGUUCACAAGAUUUUAUAGAAGGGGCAAACCUAUUACUAAAAAGUAUGAACACCCCCACCUUCCACCCCUUGUUUACUAUCUUUGCACUUCUUAUAGGAAACUGAUUAGUAUACCUUUUAUUGCUAGGAAGUGAAUCAAGCCCUUGUUUAAUUCACGUAGGGAUCGGAAUACUGCCACUGCAGUGUUAUCUAUCAAAUUUCAAUGGAACAGCUAUUGAGUAUAUAUAAACUGUCCAGGUAACCCUUAGUUUAGGCAUUCUGGUUUUUAUAGUAUUUUUCAUUGGUAGCUGACUUGUUAAAGCCUAAAGGGAAGCUCUGCAUGUUGCAAUAGAGACAGCAUUCAAAAAUACUUCCAGUCAAGAAUAAUGUAAAAAGAGGGUAAGGGAAAGAUAAUAUACAUUAUUGUUAAUGUAAAAAACUUACUGUCUUUAGAGAAAGGAAGACAUAAUGUAUAUACAAGUUGUGGCUUAAACUCUCAUUUAUUGCUUUGAUUUCUACAUUAAAAUCAAGGACAUAUCUAAGUACUGCUUUUACUGAAACUUAGGGGUAUCAUGUUAGAGGCUGAGAAUAUUGUCUAGAGCUGCAGUAUAAAUGUGCUGCAUUCACAGCAAUUACAAAACUGUAAUGCUUUUCCUUCUAGCAUGGAGUGAUCCUGGAGAUGCACUUUCUCCAUUUUUAACACAGCUUAUAUUUUCUUUUGAUUCCUGUAAUAGGAAACACAGCAAUGAUGUUUAUCUCCUGAACAUGACAUAGCAAAUGAUGAAUAUGGAAACAGAAAACUUACAAGAACCUCGAUUGCAAACUUCCAUGGUUCCUGAGAAGAUGAACAUUUUUAAUCAGAAGGGAAUUAGCAGAU